UUUUUUUUUUUUUUUUAAAUAUCUCUAUCUUUCUCUAGCUCACAUUUCUUUUUCUCAUUUCAGGGGAAAAAAAAAACCUCUCCCAAGAGCAAAAAGGAAUGGAGACAUGGUCUUUAUGUUUUACUGGGAAAAACGAGGUCAAAGUCAAGGGUGUUGGCAUAACCCUGCUGUUGUACAACAUUAAGUGUAGUUCAAGGUUUCAAGUACAAACACCUCUGCCUGCCCAACACCAUAGCAACCAACACUAUUAAUGAUGUUUAAACUGUAUACUGAAAAUUCAGAAAAAGGAGAAGGAGGGGGAAAAAAAGCAGUUACAGUAUUUGAAAUGUAAAAUAUUAAGUAAGGCUUUCAUGUUAACAAUAUCUUUUCUUCACUUUCCCCAUAGCGUGAAGAAUUUUUAUAAGAAAAGCCCUAUUUGACAGUGCAAAAAAAAAUGCUAAUGACUAUCCUUUCUUUAGGGGAAAAGAAGUUAGUCGAAAUAGGUGGGAAAAUGCAGUUGUUGCUAAAGACUUGAAGGGGAGAGAGAAGAAUAGCAACACUAGACAAUGGUUCUGUCUCUGGUGCCAACUCCUCUUAACAGCUCUGCUGCCAAAGAAAAACAGAUUCCUGAGCCACUGUGGGAUUUGCCCAACUUGUACCUGGACUGCAGCCUUCAGCUCUCUCCCCAGGCUUCUUGCUAAGGAAGCAGCCUUCAAAAGGUGAGCAGUUUGUCAGACAGAAGUCAAAGGAUGAGAAAUAGGAACAGGAAGAAAGGAGACUGGAAGGAAAGAAACCACCAAGGAAGGCCUUGGAGGAGUGUGGGAGUUUUAGCAGUGCAUUGAAAGUGCUGUUUGCAGGAGCAGGAAAUGGGAUGCUGCCUGGCCCCCCAGGUCUGGAUUUUUUUUUUUUGUGAUCAGGGCACCUGCAGCUCCCCAGUGCCACUGAGGAUGCCAGCCUGUGAGACAGAGUCCACCUUGGAAGAGGGGAGACCAGUUUGGUUGGCCCUGAACCUCUUAUUUUUUUAAUAACACUCCAGAUAAGUCAGUGGCUUUUUGUCAGUGUUACAAUCACUUGCUUACAACAGAUUUAGCUUCUUAAUUUACUUCUUCUGCCCUUGCUUACAAUGCAGUCUUUUCAGACAGUCCAGAGUGGGAUCAGCAGCUCUUUUGAUUAAUUUGUUAUAUUUGUUUUGUCUUCAGUCUCUGAAAAACCUGACUUGACAGCUGGCUCUGCACACUUCUGGGAUGGAUGCAAAGCUGAAGGAGGGUGGGUGACUACUCUAUUCAGUGAGUGCAUGGUCACAGGGAGGCUUGGACCAUCCUUAUGUUUUUCCUCGAGGAACCUGCUAGCAGUUGGUGCCCGAGAUGGAAUCUCAGACUAACUGGAGCUUUCUCCCCUGCCAAAUAGUGCUCAUCAUGUGGCUUCAUUGAAGAGGAUGCAAAUGUUGCCAUAGGCAUAAGCAAGGCCAGGAAGAAGAGCAGCAUCAUAAAUGUUAAGUAACUGUGUCUGUUCUCACCAGCUGGUGCAGGAAUUUUUCCUGUAGACUUUCUGCAUAAAUACCUGGGAGGUUAAAGGAGUGCAGAACUGAGCUGUAGUAACUCAAAUGGCAUUGCCUCUUAAGGCUGUUCCUUGACAGCCUGAGAUUUUUUUCCCUUCCUGUUUGAUCCAUCUUGAACUCCAAGAAAGCAGGGAACUUAUCUCUCUCCCUGUUUGAACUGUAAGUGAUUAAUUACAGACCCCAAGAAUGGGCUCCUUGCCUAUCUCUUGUGUUUAAAUUGCCUUCCAGGAUUUUGCAAGGCUAAGGAGCCUCUUCUGACUUUACAGCUGACUGUGCCUCGGUUAAGCCUCUCUUGGUUUUGUUGGGAGCUGCAUCUGAUCCAUAGUGAACUCUAAGAACAAAUUUAACAGGAUUUGCUGGUCCUGACCCUUUUGCCACUGCUUGAAAACAAGACAGUGUUGUUGAUUUUAGCCGUGUAGGGAGAAGAAGUGCGAUGAAACAGGGCAUUUGGAUGGGGAGAGAUGCUGCUAUUCUGAAACUCUGCUUUCCCCAUUCCACCCCCAGAAGUGGGGCACAGAGGGAGUCUGCAGCUGGUGCCUUUGGCCACGUUGUAUCAGAUGGAGGAUAUGCCAUGAAAUAUCCAGCAAUUGCACUGGCAAAGAAUCCAGCAGCCCUGGUUCUGAGCCAAGGCAAGCUUGUACUUGGUGCUGGACAGGGUGCCUUCUCUGAAUUACUUACAAACAGAGACAGAGUGAGGAAGGAAGAGAGGGCUUACAGGACCGAUGAGGCAGUAUUGUUAUGUCUAAGCAGGGAGAAGAAGGUGCUUUUUGGGCCAGGGAGGGGCAGAGUUCAGGAGAAGAGUUUCCUUUCCACCCAGAAAUACCAUGAAGAUCUGAAAGGUUUUUGGUAUAAGCUCAUGUGGUAUAAGCACAUGAGAGGUGAGGGAUAAAGCAAGUGGUUUGGAUAAGAGAAAGAACCAGAGAAAAAAUUUCACAUCCUCUUCAUGGCUGUGCUGGCAAAUAAUGAAUAGUGGUCUGAUGGGUUUUAGGGCUCAGAAAAGAGAGGGGAAAGUCAGAAGGAAAAAGGUAAGAACUCUUCCCCUCUCCAACCACCUUGUUGCUGGUGGUUUCUCUCUCAUGGCUCUCCCAAUAGCAUAGGAGGAGCUAUGGGGUUGGCAGAGAGCAUCAGCUUCUACUCUGUGCUACAUCUUCUGCCUGAGCAUACCCCAGGUAACUCAGCUUCCAUGAGCACUGGGAGAAGCAGCAGGCUGGGGCAACGAGCAGGAUGGAUGUGCUGACAAGAGUCUGCCCCUUCCACACUACCCCACCUUUCCCACAUCACCAUCAGUUUUGGCUGGAGUGAGGCUGACUGUAGAAGCUGGCCAAGCUCUCUGCUUGCCACAGUGUUUUUUCUGCAGGGGAGAAGCUCCUCUCUGGGCUCUCUGACAGGCUUGUUUCCCAGAGGCAUGGUGUGGGGUGCAGGCAGACAGAGUCUCGGUGCAGCUGGCAGGGAGAGCAGGGCCCCCCCACACCCUCUCCUUUCUCCCUGGCAUUCAGCUGUAUUGGACGGUGUCUGUUUUUAGCAAAAGUCGCAGAUUCAACAGCUGAGCUGAUUUUCCAAAGGGACAUAUAAAACAAACAGCCUGCCAUCUGCUCUAUUGUCCUGGAAUAGCGGCUUGGAGAGUGGGGGAGAGGGAAGGAGGGGAAUGCGAGGAAUGAGAAGGGGACUGGGAGGAAGAGGAAGGGAAGGAGUGGGAGCAGAAGAGAGGAAAAGGCAGAAAGGGGAGGCAGGGAGGUCAUGGCAGAGAGGGGAGGCUGAAGGAAAAGAGAGAAAGGAGGACACAAAAAGGAAAGCUGUGUGGAAGUGAGGAUUUGUUGAGGGGAGAGGACCAGAGUCAGGCUUGGGGGCAAACAGGGCUUGCUUGGGAUCACCCUGGCUGCAUUCCUCAGCCCUAUGAGCCACAUAGGCAGGCAAUAUGAGCACCCCAGUCCUUGCUGAGCCAGAGUCUGACUGCAAAGUGGACAUAGUGGCCUGGAUAAUCACUCCUCUUCCACCCACUCAGCCCUGCCUGCUACACACCCCCACCUCUGCUCUGACUUUUAUUGAGUGCCGCAGGGCAGGGAUUGAACUCCAGGUUUGGCAGCAGAGUAAAUAACAGCAACAUUGGUCUCUCUGGCCUGGGAGGGAGGAGGGCUGGUUUUAAUCAAAGGUAAAUAACAGUCAGUAUUGUCUGAACCUUAAUCCAAUUUCCUAGAACUGGAGAAUAAUGUUCCAACUUAAACAUGUGGCACUGGCCCACCAGAGAGGGAUGGCUACUCAGUCAGCAAGCUGCUAGGCACAGGACAGCCAAGGAGAGCAGAGCUGGGGGAGAUGCCACAAGGCAGGUAAUUUAUCCUAGCUAAUCUGGACUGUGCUGUUCUGUUUUAAUUCUUCCUGGUUUAUUUUCCUGGCUUCAGUCAUCCCAAAAGAUGGGGCUGGUUUCUGACAGGCAGCACAUCUUCAUGUAAUGUGGGCCCAGUUGAUUACAAGCUCUCUGAUUUGCUUGGUUGUCAGGAGACUUGGGACCAGGCUGAUACCCUGCAUCUGCAUCCCUGGAGGUCAUUUUGCCUCUUAUGGUGGCCUGGAGAAAGGUGCUUAUAGAGUCAUGCUUGCUGUUACAUGGACAUGGCAUGAAUCAUGUUUGUGCCAUAUCAAGUUCCCGCUACACAUGACCUAUAAGCAAGAUUUCAGUGUUGGAAAACAGUGUUUAUGUUGUUGUUAGUCUGGUAGCACAACAAUCUGUGUGACUGGAAACUGCACUCUGGCUUGGUCUCAUAUUCAAAUCACAGAGAGUUAGAGAGGUGCUGUUAUUCAGCUAUCAGGAGGUUAUCUAAUCCUGCAGCAGGGCCAGCCGCUUUAUACCCCUCCCAGCAGAUUUGUCCAACUGACUCUUAAAACACAUUGUUCUGUCCAGACUAUCAGCGCUGGAAUUGAAAACCCAGUUUCUGAUAGUAAAGCACUGAUACCUGGUUGAUUUUGAAAAGACGGAUUUGUUCUGCAGUGCUGUGCCAACACCAUUUGUAGAUACCCAUUGAGCAGCUCUGUCAGGGUCCUGGGCACUGCUUUUUCCUCUGUGGGGCAGCUGAUUUGCAAUUCUCUGGAACAAAAACGGCCUGGUGAGGCCAGGAUGUGUUUGGGAAGAGGCAGAGACGCAUCCUGGAGCUGAGGGCAGAGGAGGCCAAGCUCCAUUCCAGACCUUUCAUCUUUCGAAAUGACUUGGCAGUCAAUAGUCACAGCUCAAGCUGCUGUGUGGACAGAGCAGCUGUCCACCGGUGGGUGGACUGUGGUUUUAAGACCUCUUUUC
ensembl:lncRNA